rnacentral:rRNA from 1 species
GAUGAACGCUGGCGGCGUGCCUAAUACAUGCAAGUCGAGCGAACAGACGAGGAGCUGGCUCCUUCGACGUUAGCGGCGGACGGGUGAGUAACAUGUAGGCAACCUACCUAUAAGACUGGGAUACCUCCGGGGAACCGGAGCUACUGCCGGCUAAUAUUUCGAACCGGAUGGUUACCUAGUGAAAUAUGGCUUUGCUAUCACUUAUAGAUGGACCUGCGCCGUAUUAGCUAGUUGGUAAGGUAACGGCUUACCAAGGCAACGAUACGUAGCCGACCUGAGAGGGUGAUCGGCCACACUGGAACUGAGACACGGUCCAGACUCCUACGGGAGGCAGCAGUAGGGAAUCUUGCGCAAUGGGCGAAAGCCUGAUGGAGCAACGCCGCGUGAGUGAUGAAGGUCUUCGGAUCGUAAAGCUCUGUUAUUAGGGAAGAACAAACGUGUAAGUAACUGGGCACGUCUUGACGGUACCUAAUCAGAAAGCCACGGCUAACUACGUG